UCUCCAAUAGGUUUCGGGAAACCAAAAAGCAAGGGAAGAAAGUGCAUUCCUCACCCUGAGGGUGGACAUAAGAGGAAAGGAGAAAGAAAAGGGAACAGGAGGAAUAGGAUUUUAAUGCAAACGUAAAAUUAAGCAUUCGCCCACCUGUCCUGCUCUAAAAGCAAUCAAGGCACGCUACUCCAUCAUCCAGAUUCCUGAAGAGAAUGGUAAACAACUCCUGGCCAUUCAAAUCGACCCUCAUCCCUGGAUAAACCGCAGUCUGCAUCCAAGGAGGCUGGGCAGCCACCUGAGAUCCAGCCACAGAUUUUUUUUUUUCCCGUUAUCCACAAACUCGUUUCCAGGCACUACCUAAAGGUAACGAAUCCCAAUUUCACGAACAUCUGAUUCAGCAACGAUUGCUACCUUCAUUGCCAGUAGGCCAGUGGUUAUUUCUAUGUCUGAUAAAUAUAAGGAAUGCUUAUUAUUUAAAUCCACAAGUGAGUCCUUGGUGGGGAUGGGAGUAAAUCCAAGAUUGUUUUGACUUCCAACUGUGUACUUGAUAUCUGGCUCAUUAAUGAUUGAAACAUAAGGAAAGCCCAAGAAAUUCCAAAGAACCUGAAUGCAAGCUUAUGUGGCUUCUAUUCCAAGCUCAUUUUAUCAGCUUUCUUUGGCACAUAUAUACCCCUGCAUUAAAGAAUUGUCAGAUCCUAAACUUCUCUCUGUUUACCUCUUUGUGCACAUUAAC